AGUGAACGCUGGCGGUAGGCCUAACACAUGCAAGUCGAACGGCAGCACAGUAAGAGCUUGCUCUUACGGGUGGCGAGUGGCGGACGGGUGAGGAAUACAUCGGUAUCUACUUUUUCGUGGGGGAUAACGUAGGGAAACUUACGCUAAUACCGCAUACGACCUACGGGUGAAAGCAGGGGAUCUUCGGACCUUGCGCGAUUGAAUGAGCCGAUGUCGGAUUAGCUAGUUGGCGGGGCAAAGGCCCACCAAGGCGACGAUCCGUAGCUGGUCUGAGAGGAUGAUCAGCCACACUGGAACUGAGACACGGUCCAGACUCCUACGGGAGGCAGCAGUGGGGAAUAUUGGACAAUGGGCGCAAGCCUGAUCCAGCCAUACCGCGUGGGUGAAGAAGGCCUUCGGGUUGUAAAGCCCUUUUGUUGGGAAAGAAAAGCAGCAGGUUAAUACCCCGCUGUUCUGACGGUACCCAAAGAAUAAGCACCGGCUAACUUCGUG
rnacentral:rRNA from 1 species